rnacentral:rRNA from 1 species
GGAAUCUUGCGCAAUGGGCGAAAGCCUGACGCAGCAACGCCGCGUGCGGGAAGAAGGCUUUCGGGCUGUAAACCGCUCUCAGCAGGAACGAAAAUGACGGUACCUGCAGAAGAAGGAGCGGCCAACUAUGUGCCAGCAGCCGCGGUGAUACAUAGGCUUCAAGCGUUGUCCGGAUUUAUUGGGCGUAAAGAGUUCGUAGGCGGUCGAGUAAGUCGGGUGUGAAAAUUCUGGGCUCAACCCAGAAACGCCACCCGAUACUGCUUAACUUGAGUUCGAUAGGGGAGUGGGGAAUUCCUAGUGUAGCGGUGAAAUGCGCAGAUAUUAGGAGGAACACCGGUGGCGAAGGCGCCACUCUGGAUCGAUACUGACGCUGAGGAACAAAAGCAUGGGUAGCAAACAGGAUUAGAUACCCUGGUAGUCCAUGCCGUAAACGGUGGGCACUAGGUGUGGGAUUCUAUUAACGAAUUCCGCGCCGUCGCUAACGCAUUAAGUGCCCCGCCUGGGGAGUACGGUCGCAAGACUAAAACUCAAAUGAAUUGACGG